UCCUCAAUAGCUCAGUUGGUUAGAGCACCUGACUGUUAAUCAGGGGGUCGCAGGUUCAAGUCCUGCUUGGGGAG
rnacentral:tRNA from 1 species